GUCCUUUUGAUUUUAAUUUAAGGUUGGACCUGCCCAUUGAUGAUUUUAACGGCCGCGGUAUUUUGACCGUGCAAAGGUAGCAUAAUCAUUAGUUUUUUAAUUGAAAGCUGGAAUGAAUGGUUUGAUGAAAAAAUAGCUGUCUCAAUUUAAUUAUAUUAGAAUUUUAUUUUUAAGUUAAAAAGCUUAAAUGUAUUUAAAAGACGAGAAGACCCUAUAGAGUUUAAUAUUAAAAUAUAAUAUAAUUAUUAGGAUUUAAAUUUUAUAUUUAUUAUUAUUAUUUAAUUGGGGUGAUUAAAAAAUUUAAUUAACUUUUUUAUUUUAUUAACAAUGAUUUUUGAAUUUUUGAUCCAAUUUUUUUGAUUAAAGAUUAAAUUACCUUAGGGAUAACAGCGUAAUUUUUUUUAAGAGUUCUUAUCGAAAAAAGAGAUUGCGACCUCGAUGUUGGAUUAAAAUUAAUAAUUGGUGUAGAAGCUAAUUUAUUAGGUCUGUUCGACCUUUAAAAUUUUACA
rnacentral:rRNA from 1 species